rnacentral:rRNA from 1 species
UUUUUAUCAGGCGUAWACCUGAGAAACCCGAAAGGUCGAAAGAGGAAAUUCAUUCGCGUUUCGACUGUCGAAGUGAGGCGUUUGUUUGACGGAUGGCGUAUUCGCGUCGUUCGCAUCUUAUGCUUUUCGAGUCGAUGUCGAACGCGUGCACUUUUCUUCUAGUAGGACGUCGCGAUCCGUUGGGUGUCUGUCUAAGGUUAGAGGUGGAGCCCACGUGAUAAUAGAUCGCGUGGACCCUCGAUAUCCCGACAGACUCGCUCGACGGUAUAAUAAUGGCGCGGGGCCGCUACAUAGUUAGCGUUCGGCCCGUAGCAAGCGCGUUCUGUGUUUGACGGUGAUCGGACCUAGUGCCGAUUCUGUCCCAGAACGACUGUUGGUUACGGUGUUCUCGAACAGACCUCGUAAUGAAACGCCGAUCAGCGACGCUAUAGAUUUGGGUACUUUCAGGACCCGUCUUGAAACACGGACCAAGGAGUCUAGCAUGUGCGCGAGUCAUUGGGAUACGACUAAACCUAAAGGCGUAAUGAAAGUAAAGGUUUACCUUGCGUAGACCGAGGGAGGAUGAGCGGUUUGCCCUUAAAAGUAGCCGCUUCGCACUCCCGGGGCGUCUCGUUCUCAUUACGAGAAGAGGCGCAUCAAGAGCGUACACGCUGGGACCCGAAAGAUGGUGAACUAUGCCUGGUCAGGACGAAGUCAGGGGAAACCCUGAUGGAGGUCCGUAGCGAUUCUGACGUGCAAAUCGAUCGUCGGAACUGGGUAUAGGGRCGAAAGAMUAAUCGAACCUACAA